AGCACCCGUGGCAGCCCGUCAAGCAGGAGCCGGAGUCGCCCACCGGUCCCCAGAGGAACCUGCCCGUGGGCGUGCCUAUCCCGACCAGCGGUCCCGCAAAUGUUCGCAGCUUCAUCCCUCGUGCAGCUGGGCAGCAGGGCCCGAGAUUUUAAAUGAAAACUAGCUGCCAAUUUGGACAGGCAUAUGUUUCGUGGCACGCAGCCGUGUGAGGAAGCAGUGGGGAAAUGAGUGAAGCAUAAGCCCUGACAUGUACAUCACGGCGUGUAUCAUGUUAACCUUUUGUCUUAUGUAAACUUUUGUGUGGGAUAACUGAAUUAAGAGAAUUGACCUCUUUGGUGUUGUGUUUACAAAAGUACUGAUACAAUGUAAUGUAUUGCUAGUAGUUGCCGAAGUUAGAAAUGUAGCUGGCAGAUGUUUUCCCAUGUACAGGGUAUUACACUGUGUCCAUAGAGAAAGGGCACUGUGAUAAACUUUGCCAGUUACUACUGACUACAUACAUUUAUCUUGACUGUAAUGUCAGUGUCCCCCAUGCGUGUCCAUAUGUGUGAUACUGCGCAUACCCAAAAUGAGGAGGAAAAAUAAAAUUAAAAGAAAGUGCAGAAGAAAGUAUAAUCUUUCCAGUAGUCUGUUAUAUGCAGAAAUUGAUGUAUAUUCUUUUUAAGAGCUAUAAGAAAUAAUGUGAAGCUUGUGUAAUUUUAAAUGUUAAUGUUGUUAUCAUAUAUAUUUUAUUGUAAAGGAAACAUUAUAAUCAGUCAUGUGUUUACAAACAUGUAGUUUCUUUUAUUACUUGGCAAAGGAAGCUGAAGACCUGGCCAGAAAAGCAUCACACUGUGUUUAUGCCCAAAAGCAAAAGCGGUAAUAGCAUACACUCCAAUGUUUUUAGAAGUGUAGCACUUACUUUCUACUAUGGCUGAGUCUACGGUUUGCUUUGUCGGAUAACAAUGUAAUAAUGUGCGUGUGUGCCUGCAUGUGUGCACACCCAGGCACACACAAGUGUGUGUGUGUGUGUGUGCGCGCACGCGCUCAUGCCCACACACACACACACACACACACACACACACACACACACACAAACUCGAGGAAAAUGUAGUUAUGUAUUGCAUGUUGUGUGAUUGAUGUUUUGAUGUUUUUGUCUUCUUGGUUACUAGUGCUGCCAGAUAGAUGGCAUAAACUUUUGAUGAGACUGUAAGCUGUCAGAAGCUGCUUAUAAAUAAGCACACUCAAUACUGUCUGUGUUUCAUUACAGUUCUGGUAACUGUCAAAUAUAUGAGUUGAUGAAUUAAUUACUUCAAAUAUCAGACUCAAACUGAUGUUGGAGUUGUUAAUGUAAAGUGAGGAUCGAUUACGUGCCAAAUUAGUUAGACUGUACUAAUUUUGAAAGGCUUGUCAACUGAACAAUUCUCAUACCAGGGUGUUAGAAUUUUACAAUGUACAUUGGUUACACCGUUUUUGUGUUUACUAGGCUGUGAGCCAAAUGUUCUAAAAUACAAAAUAUAUAUUCACUGUCAUAAUAUGCUAGUGCAUCCAAGAGAAAGUGUGACAUCUGCUUCACGUUCAAUUGUUGGCUAGAAUUAGUAUAAAGACAUUAUAGUGUUAGUAGGUUGUUGAAUGUUAACACAAAUGGCCAAUUAAGAAAUCUUUAGAUAUCUUCAGAAGAUUUUCAGCACAAACAAGGUAUCAUUUCCUGGACCAAUAUUUGGCUGGGAACUCUCAGGCAUUUUCAAGGCAAUUUGAAAUAUAUCACAGGAACACAAUCUACAAUUAUUUAUUCAUCAAGAUCCGCAUCUGCUUCUUUUACACUUGGGUCAAAAUGUGACGUGUUGUGCUAUCUCACAAUGCAUGCGUCACAAAUGAAGCAGUGCAUCUGAUGUGUGCAUCAGAUACGAAAUAAUGCAGGGCAGUCUGGCAGAAAGUUCUGCGCUUAAAUGAUUUACCAGUCUUUUCUUUUAAUAGCUACCUUACAGAAAUAUCUGUACACCAACAUGAUUCAGAGGUUGCAUAGAUCAACAAAUGAAACCUCAAAUUGGUGGCAGGUGUCACAAAUAUCAAGUGAGAAUGGUUCUGAAUGGAAAAUGCUCUUAGAAAAAAAGACAAUGGAAUUCAUGAAUUGAUCUGAGAUCUGAUAAUUCUCUGUUUGCAAGCCUUAUUGGAUAUUUGAUCCUCUGGGACAACUUCAAAAACCACACUCAAGAUAGAAUAUUUAAACAUGUUUAGUCUUGAUGUGUUUAUAAUGUAAAUUAUGGGCCACAUUGUUUAUCAGUUCCUUUGUGCAAGAGAAAUACUGCUGUAUUUGAAAUGUUUCUCCAGCUUUAUAUACUCUUUGCUCAUUUUGUAUGUUCCUAUGCAUUUCAUAAUAUAGCUAAACAUUGCUACAGAUAUUUGUAGUUAUCGAUGUUUUCUUUGAAGAAGUGUUAUCAGUAGGUAUAUUAAUAUAAGGAAAAAAAUUGGUUGUUGAUUUAUAAGAAGACAGAACAGAUAAUCAGUACUUGCGUUCAGUAGGCAAAAUUCCAAGUAAUAUUGUAAGACACACAAAAAAACUAGCUCUCACAGCUGUUAAUUCCUUUCUCGGGAAGUAAGGAGGGAUAUAUCUGGAAGGAUAGGCAAGUGGGGUUGUCCAGUAACAAGGAUACCACCCAGCAAUUGGAUUUUUGUAAUUUUUUUAUAUUCAUGGAACAUGAAGUUCAUAAUUCAAAUAUCAAUAUCCCAAAGCAGGUUGAUGCAUCUCUAAAAAAAUUCUUGACAAACUUGACUUUGCAGUUUUCCAGUGAACUUGAGGAACUUUAACACCCUAAAAUGUUGGCAAUUUUCACAACAGGCAGUGUGGAUCACUGGGUAGCAUUGGAUCACGUAAUCAAUGGAUUGCUGGUUCGAAUCUCACAGUGACUUUUUUCCAUUCAGUUUGAAUACCUACACAUUUAAAAAUAAAAUUCAUCAAAUAUAUGCUAAUUAUCACACAUCUAAUCAUUGUUUUUUGUGAGAAAUGCACAUCAUCUUGUUUUUAAUUACAUUCCGCAUCCAAAAUUCCAGACGUUCAUUGAAAAUAUAACUUCU